rnacentral:piRNA from 1 species
UGAUGACCCACAUGAAUCCAUCACAGUGC